CGCAUUUGCCCCAUCAAAAUUCCCCGCCCGUCUGCUUCCCCGAUAGAUCAAUCCAUGAGGUUUCUCGGCCCGAAAUCAAUCACAUUAACUCGGCCCGAUCUUAAUUGGUAUUAAUAGCCUCAAGUCCAUCAAUAUUACGUUCCAUCCGAAGAAGUCUCCCAAGUUCAACGUGACGACACCGCUGGCAUCUUUAUAGCCAACAAAAUAUACUCAACAACAUACAUAAGAUGUCAUCGAAAUUUCUUCGUCCGCCAUAAUUUAUCGCGUUAUUAAUAAGUGUCAGCUUUCUUCAUUGUACCAACUUACAAAUGGCUGACGAUCGAUUAAAAAAGUCCGAUUGACACCGGCCGUAUGUCCCGGUCCAGAUGAAAAAUAUCGUUUUGUGUUGUUGAAAUGGCCACAAUAAAUUUUCAGAGUUUACUAUUUCGAGAUUAAUGAACUUGAGCGAGUCGUUCAUUGAUGCUCUCUUGAAUAUCUAACUUCUACGUCACAAAAUUCAUUUGAAUAACAUUUGAAUACAUCGAUCUGGUGUAAUACUGAACACGAAGAACUUGGCCUAGGUCGGACUGCUCGAUAGCGGCACCACGCGAGCGAAGGUACGUAGAUUAACUUGUUAGUUUAAAGGUAAAAGAAGGAAAUGACGAGGAAAGAGAAAAUAAGACAUCAAGAGGAUCGUAGUUGCAAAGCCCCAGAUCUACUAAAAGAACAAUGACUUCGCACGAUAUCAACUGUGAGUGUGGUAAAGAUGUCGCAGUUUUGAAAAUCUUCCACGAAAACGCUUUUCGGGACGUUGCUGACCAUGGACGUGGUUGAUGGAUCUGGAAGAACUGGAAGUGUGAAUAAAGGCAAAUCAGCAGGAAGAUCAUCAUAAGUCCUCAAUUAACUAACUCAUUAAUAAAUAAAUCGUUUAACAUUUUCUUCAUUAUUUUCAGUUGAUAUUUAACCAUAAUUUAGCCUCCUUCGAGCGAGUCGCCACUGCCCAAUACAUGAUCUACUCCGGCUUAUUUAGUUUGUUAUUUAUUGUGAAGCUGAUCAGAUUACCCACCUGUUCGAUAAUAUCAAAUUACGUUUCGGUGGCCGCUCAAACUGAUACGAAGUAUGUGAUGGGAAGAGGAAGUCGUGUUUUCGGGAGAGAAGAGGUGCAUACGUCAUAUUUUCUCAUUUGGAGUUCGGGGUCGUGAGUGUUCCUCCCCAUUGACAGAUAACUGUCAAUAUUGGUCGUCAAUCAGAAACGUAACCGCAUUACCGUCGACUCGGAUAUAUAUUACGAUACACCAAAUAAAUCCGGCUGGAUUGAAUCGUCUCCGAGGGAGUUGUGGACACAAACACGGCGAACUUGAAUAACGGAACUAGUUUUCUUGGAGUUGAAGGAGUCUUGGAUGAAAAGGGAGUGAACACAGUUAUGCAUCUAGAUAUUAUAAAUUUAACAAAUUGGUGGCACUCUGAAGAAAAGCUCUGGAAAAGAUGAU